GGGACUGUGGCUCAGUUGUACAGCAUCAUCCUUGCAUGUGGAAGGUUCCAGGUUCAAGCCUUGGCAUCUCCCA